rnacentral:lncRNA from 1 species
AAUCCAAAAUUAGAAAGUCUAUAUAGGACAAGAGAAAAUAUUGUCAUCCCACAAUAUAGGUCAAUACAAAAAUCUGAACCAGAAAUAACUGACUCAGAAAUGGAUUUUCAAGUCUUAACUCUUACAGAAGAAAAACGACUUAGUAAACAAUUUAUAGAACAAGAUUACUUAUCUGAAGAAAAUAAGGAAAUAAGAACUUGGUAUAAAAAACAUUGUCAACCUAGAUUAGUAGAAUUAUUUCAUAUAAAGUACAAUAAGGCACGAAAAAGAUAAAGGUAUAAUAAAGGAUUUUUUGUAUGGUUAAAAGAAAUAUGUAGAAAAAGAAAAAUACAUAUUCCUAAUUUUGAAAUAAAUACAAUACAAAGUCAAUAUACUUCAUAUGAAACAACCGAUGGAAAUACAAUGACAAGUAUUCACCCUCCUGAGAAAAGUGUUGUUAUAAAAGGAUCAAAACCAGAACCUGAGAAAAGUGUUGUUAUAAAAGGAUCAAAACCAGAAUUAAAAUUAGAAACAAAAGCUACACCAUAUAAAAUGACUACAGGAGAAAUAGUACAUAAAGCUGAAUUAAUUCCACAUGUAAUAGAACAAAAUAACUAUACAAAUUUAUAUAUGCAAUCUUUAGAAAGACAAGCAUCUAGAAUUGAAAAUAUGUUAAGACCUAUACCUAUAAAAGAAACCAAAAAUGUUUUAUUCAAACGACCUCCAUCACUUGAUAAAGAAAGAUUUAAUUUUGGAGAAGAUAAUAAGACCCUAAUGGACCAAUUGAUAUCAAAAUUAUCUAAAUUAGAAAUUCAAGAGAAAACUCUAAAAAUUCAGGAGAAAGGAAAAGAGAAAAUUACUACAGAAAUUCUUGAAUCAUCUACAUUAACUUUACAAGAAGAGACACCAAUAAUUGCUGACACAAUAGAGAAUAUGGAAGAAGCUUUUACAAAAAAUAGUCCUAGACCAGAUAGUAAUAAUAUUCAAAGAAUAGUAUAUGGAAAAUCAUGGAAACCUUUAACGGCUAGGCCCUAUCAUCAUAGAUCUACCCCUGUUGAUAUACAAUUCGAAGAAGAUUUGGUAGCCCAGAAUAUUUCCUAUUCAGGAAGAUCAAUAGUAAAUUGGAAUAUAGAUGGAUUAUCUAAACAACAAAUAUUAGACACUAUGAAACGUAUGACCAUGUAUGCCUCUGCAUGCAAAAUGGUAGGCAACCAUGAUCAAGAGGUCGCCAAAGCCAUUGUCUGUGGUUUCACAGGAUGGCUUCGAGGUUGGUGGGAUUUCCACUUACCUGAAGUACAAAACAACAAAUUUUAUAUAAUACUUGCCAAUGGACUGUUAAAAAUGAAAAUAAUCAAGACGUUCUAUAUUCCGAAAGUGAUGCUGUUAAUACUCUCAUUUACACCAUCACACUUCAUUUUGUGGGGAGUACACCCUUACUUGAAGCCAGAUCUGAAGAUUUGUUAUCUAAUUUAAGAUGUCCAACCCUAUCUCAUUAUAAAUGGUACAAAGAUGUUUUCUUUUCCAGACUAUUAAGUAGAGAGGAUAGCCAGCAGGACCAUUGGAAAGAAAAAUUUAUUGCUGGAUUACCAUAUUUAUUUGCAGAAAAGGUAAAAACUCGAUUAAAAAAUAAAAAUGGAGGAAUAAUACCAUAUUCUGUUUAUACAUUAG